rnacentral:rRNA from 1 species
UACGGAGGGUGCAAGCGUUAAUCGGAAUUACUGGGCGUAAAGGGUGCGUAGGCGGUUGUUUAAGUCUGUUGUGAAAUCCCCGGGCUCAACCUGGGAAUGGCAAUGGAUACUGGGCAGCUAGAGUGUGUCAGAGGAUGGUGGAAUUCCCGGUGUAGCGGUGAAAUGCGUAGAGAUCGGGAGGAACACCCGUGGCGAAGGCGGCCACCUGGGCCGACCCUGACGCUGAGGCGCGAAGGCGUGGGGAGCGAACGGG